rnacentral:rRNA from 1 species
CAUUUAUACAGUGAAACUGCGAAUGGCUCAUUAAAUCAGUUAUCGUUUAUUUGAUAGUACCUUUACUACUUGGAUAACCGUGGUAAUUCUAGAGCUAAUACAUGCUAAAAAUCCCGACUGUUUGGAAGGGAUGUAUUUAUUAGAUAAAAAAUCAAUGCUCUUCGGAGCUUUUUGAUGAUUCAUAAUAACUUUUCGAAUCGCAUGGCCUUGUGCUGGCGAUGGUUCAUUCAAAUUUCUGCCCUAUCAACUGUCGAUGGUAGGAUAGUGGCCUACCAUGGUUUCAACGGGUAACGGGGAAUAAGGGUUCGAUUCCGGAGAGGGAGCCUGAGAAACGGCUACCACAUCCAAGGAAGGCAGCAGGCGCGCAAAUUACCCAAUCCCGACACGGGGAGGUAGUGACAAUAAAUAACGAUACAGGGCCCUUUAGGGUCUUGUAAUUGGAAUGAGUACAAUGUAAAUACCUUAACGAGGAACAAUUGGAGGGCAAGUCUGGUGCCAGCAGCCGCGGUAAUUCCAGCUCCAAUAGCGUAUAUUAAAGUUGUUGCAGUUAAAAAGCUCGUAGUUGAACCUUGGGCUUGGCUGGCCGGUCCGCCUUUUUGGCGAGUACUGGAUCCAACCGAGCCUUUCCUUCUGGCUAACCAUUUGCCCCUGUGGUGGAUGGCGAACCAGGAUUUUUACUUUGAGAAAAUUAGAGUGUUCAAAGCAGGCCUUUGCUCGAAUAUAUUAGCAUGGAAUAAUAGAAUAGGACGUUAUGGUUCUAUUUUGUUGGUUUCUAGGACCAUCGUAAUGAUUAAUAGGAACGGUCGGGGGCAUCAGUAUUCAGUUGUCAGAGGUGAAAUUCUUGGAUUAACUGAAGACUAACUACUGCGAAAGCAUUUGCCAAGGACGUUUUCAUUAAUCAAGAACGAAAGUUAGGGGAUCGAAG